rnacentral:rRNA from 1 species
GACGAACGCUGGCGGCGUGCCUAACACAUGCAAGUCGAACGGAGAUACGAUUUCGGUUGUAUCUUAGUGGCGAACGGGUGAGUAACGCGUGAGCAACCUGACCUUCAGGGGGGGAUAACAUUUGGAAACAGAUGCUAAUACCGCAUAAGAACACGACCCGACAUCGGGAUAAGGUCAAAGGAGCAAUCCGCUGAAGGAGGGGCUCGGGUCCCAUUAGAUAGAUGGCGGGGUAACGGCCCACCAUGUCGACGAUGGGUAGCCGGGCUGAGAGGCUGAUCGGCCACACUGGAACUGAGACACGGUCCAGACUCCUACGGGAGGCAGCAGUGGGGAAUAUUGGGCAAUGGGCGCAAGCCUGACCCAGCAACGCCGCGUGAGGGAAGAAGGCUUUCGGGUUGUAAACCUCUGUCCUUGGUGACGAAACAAAUGACGGUAGCCAAGGAGGAAGCCCCGGCUAACUACGUGCCAGCAGCCGCCGUAA